GAUUAAUAGGGACAGUCGGGGGCAUCAGUAUUCAAUUGUCAGAGGUGAAAUUCUUGGAUUUAUUGAAGACUAACUACUGCGAAAGCAUUUGCCAAGGAUGUUUUCAUUAAUCAGGAACGAAAGUUAGGGGAUCGAAGACGAUCAGAUACCGUCGUAGUCUUAACCAUAAACUAUGCCGACUAGGGAUCGGACGAUGUUAUUCUUUGACUCGUUCGGCACCUUACGAGAAAUCAAAGAGCUUGGGCUCCAGGGGGAGUAUGGUCGCAAGGCUGAAACUUAAAGAAAUUGACGGAAGGGCACCACCAGGGGUGGAGCCUGCGGCUUAAUUUGACUCAACACGGGGAAACUCACCAGGUCCAGACACAAUGAGGAUUGACAGAUUGAGAGCUCUUUCUUGAUUUUGUGGGUGGUGGUGCAUGGCCGUUCUUAGUUGGUGGAGUGAUUUGUCUGCUUAAUUGCGAUAACGAACGAGACCUUAACCUGCUAAAUAGCCCGUAUUGCUUUGGCAGUACGCCGGCUUCUUAGAGGGACUAUCGGCUCAAGCCGAUGGAAGUUUGAGGCAAUAACAGGUCUGUGAUGCCCUUAGAUGUUACUGGGCCGCACGCGCGCUACACUGGACGGGAGCCAGCGGAGUACUUCCCUUGGCCGGAAGGCCCGGGGAAUCUGGUAAUCCUGCAC
rnacentral:rRNA from 1 species